GGACGUGAAGUCGACGAUGGUCGGUGGGCUGGUUUUGGUAAGCAGAACGGGCGAUUCGGGAUGAACCGGAAGCGGGGAGAAAGGGCCCGAGAUUGCGUCGACGCGGAUCCCGAAAAGGGCGUCGAUCCGUCGCGACAGCGGGACGGUGGUCAUGGAAGUCGAAAUCCGCUAAGAAGCGUGUAAAAACGUACCCGCCCAACGGAUCGGCCCCGAAAAUUGAUGGCGCUCGAACGCAACCCUCGAACCCCGCCGACGGAGGCUAGGGGAGGCCCCGUCGAGUAGGCGGACGCGCGGGUCGCUUCGACGCUCCCGCGCGAGCGGGGGCGGAGCGGCCCGUGGUGCAGAUCUUGGUGGUAGUAGCGAUCACCCAGGCGAGAACCCUGAGGGCCGAAGUGGAGAAGGGUUUCUCGAGAACGGCACUCGCUCGAGAGUUAGUCGAUCCUAAGCUGCCGGCGGCAGCCACGAAACGGUCGAUCGGGCGCGAGCCCGGCAGCCACGACCGGGCAGCGAAAGGGAAUUGGGAACCUCCUUCCCAAACCCGGAACCGGAACGAGGGCG
rnacentral:rRNA from 1 species